GAUUAACGCUAGCGGCAGGCAUAGUACAUGCAAGUUGAACGGCAGCACAGGUAGCACUACUGGGUGGCGAGUGGCGCACGGGUGCGUAACACGUAUGCAACCUACCCCAUACAGGCGAAUAACCUUUAGAAAUGAGGGCUAAUACGCCGUAGUAUUACAGAUGGGCAUCUAUUUGUAAUUAAAGAUUUAUCGGUAUAGGAUGGGCAUGCGUCCCAUUAGUUAGUUGGUAAGGUAACGGCUUACCAAGACGAUGAUGGGUAGGGGAUCUGAGAGGACUUACCCCCACACUGGUACUGAGACACGGACCAGACUCCUACGGGAGGCAGCAGUAAGGAAUAUUGGGCAAUGGCCGCGAGGCUGACCCAGCCAUGCCGCGUGCAGGAAGACGGCCUUAUGGGUUGUAAACUGCUUUUAUACGGGAAGAAUAGAGUGUACGCGUACAUUUAUGCAAGUAUCGGAUGAAUAAGCAUCGGCUAACUCCGUG
rnacentral:rRNA from 1 species